UUGAAUUCACAAAGUGAAUUUCAUGUACCUACAGCAAAAUGUAUUCAUAAGUUCAUAAAUUAAGUACAAUCAUAAUUCAUCUCACAUCAAGUUAUCAGAAAUAAGUAAUUUAUUUGCUUGUGGUAAAGUAAUAGUAAACAUGUUAAAAUUACAGAAUAGAAUUAUUGUCAGUUUCAUGUCAACUUGUUUACAAAAGUCAGAUAAAAUAAACAUAACAAGAUCAAUAUAAAUUUUAUAUUUUUUUAAUAAACAUGUCUUUACUUCGUUCUAAAUCACCUACUAGAGCGGAAGCUAUUGCAAUAGCUUUGAGACCAGCACCUGUUUUUAGCAAUGGAGUUUUACUAGGUAACUGGGUGGAAGACCGAGCCGAAUGCCCUCCCCAGGGCACAUUCUAUUUUCCUUAAGAAGUUGUAGAUGAUAAGAAACUUGAAGUAGAGAAGCGGCUGCUAGAUUUUAGGCAAAACAAACUUUUGAAUUUGCAGGGUAACCUCCAUUCAAUAAUAAAGCAUGACAGCCAUGAGCUUUGCAAUAACUUUUUAACAACAAAUGACCUUGUUUACAACCACUUGAACAAGCCUUUGUGUGGUCCCAAUUAUCGAUAUUACAGGAGGAGCCACCACCAGUACUAUCCCCAACCAGAUAACAUGGAAUGCUUUUCACACCAAGGGUAUUUUACCGAAUGGGGUCUCCAAAAAUUCAUGCAGAGAGAAUGGAAAUGCGAUAAUAUGUCGGAUUAUAUCUCUACGGUGUAUGAAGACACUUAUGUGCCACCCAAGCCACAGGAAUACCUACAAAGAUGUGAACGAAAAGCUAGAACAUCGAGCUUUACAAAAAGUAUCCGAUUUAAGAUGACAAAGUCAAAGUAAAUUGAUAACAUCAAGAAUCAUUUUCUCACCUAAAUUAAGGAGUCUUUUAAUAUCACAUCAUUUUAUUUCAUGACACGGACAGUGACGUCCAUAUAA